CUACAUAAAUUAUAUAUAAUUUUUGCGUACAAACUUUCAGUACAUAAGUGUUUUUAUAAUUAAUGUAAAAUGCAACCUUGCAUACACCGCUUUUUUGUUAAUGCAUAAGCGCCAUUUCAGUUCCUGGCCAAUUUUAUUUCCUACAUUAAAUAGUUUUGUUUUGUGGAUUUCUAUAAAUUUUAUUAUUAUCAUUAAAUUAGUGAAUUAGUGUAGUAAAUUAUGCCACGUUAUCGAGAGUGGGACUUAGCAUGCAAAGUGUACGUUGGAAAUUUAGGUUCUUCCGCCUCAAAGUACGAAAUAGAAAACGCGUUUAGCAAGUAUGGUUCUUUGCGAAAUGUAUGGGUUGCGCGAAAUCCAGCCGGCUUUGCUUUUGUAGAAUUCGAAGAUCGUCGAGAUGCUGAAGAUGCAGUUCGUAGUUUAGAUGGAACGCGUUGCUGCGGCACUCGUAUUAGGGUAGAAAUGUCUUCCGGUCGUACAAGGCGGAAUGAUCGACGACGUGGUGGGGGCGGUGGCACUACUAAUGGUGGUCCUCGUGGUGGUGGUGGACGCUACAGAAAUAUUGCAGCAAGAAAAAUACCUACAAUGCAUAAUUUUCUACAACAACAUACAACUAAAUAAAUGUUUUCAACUACUUCAAGUAAAAAACAGCAAAGACAUCGCUUUACUUAUAAAUUCAAUGAGCAGGCAAAAUUUUAUGAAACAUAAACAGAAUAAAGUUAAAAAUAUACACUUCAGCUUCUAUACUACUGCUUCAAUUUUUGGUGGAUGUUGUGGAAUCAACAAUGCAACAAUAUUUUCAGCACAACAAGAUUUAGAAAUAAUCAAUAUCUACCCCCAUUUCAACAAUAAUACAAAUCAGCCACAAAUUUAAGUUUCAGACAUCAAGUCAGCAGCAGAAUUUCUUUAAAGUAUAACUAUGGAACUAUAUCAGACACAACUCAACUGUAGUUUAACAGCUUAAAAAUCACGUUCGCCGCGCCGUACACGCAGCCGCUCUCGAAGUUUUUCACGCGAUAGGCGCACAAGAUCAGAUUCACGGGAACGACAUUAAAAUU